UUUAAUAUUUCUAUGAUGAGUCAUUAAGUCACCUUAUAUCUUUGUAGCUUACCUUUGAAGCCUAACUUGUGGUUAGCCAGAACAUUCCCAAAAGGCAUCUCCAAAGAGGGCGAGAUAACGCUCGGACAGAUAGCUGCAUCCUAGCUUGCGAGCUCCUCAUGCUGAAAACAGCCAUAAAGUCAAUGAAAGAUGAGUCAGCAACCUAUCACCAAUCUCUGUCAGUGCAUGCAGCACCUCCAGCUCCGCAGUAGGAUGCCAGCUGGUCUUCUGUUAACAUGGAAGGAAGAAGCCUGAAUUCAAAGCAGCCAAGUACUAAAGUU
rnacentral:lncRNA from 1 species